rnacentral:tRNA from 1 species
AGGGCCAUAGUAUAAUGGUAGUACACGGGUCUCCAAAACCCUUGGUGUGGGUUCAAUUCCUACUGGCCCUGCCA